UACGUAGGGCGCAAGCGUUGUCCGGAAUUAUUGGGCGUAAAGAGCUCGUAGGCGGCCUGUUACGUCUGCUGUGAAAUCCCGGGGCUUAACCCCGGGCGUGCAGUGGAUACGGGCAGGCUGGAGGCAGGCAGGGGAGAACGGAAUUCCCGGUGUAGCGGUGAAUGCGCAGAUAUCGGGAGGAACACCGGUGGCGAAGGCGGUUCUCUGGGCCUGUACUGACGCUGAGGAGCGAAAGCGUGGGGAGCGAACAGG
rnacentral:rRNA from 1 species